GGGAAUUUUCCGCAAUGGGCGAAAGCCUGACGGAGCAAUACCGCGUGAGGGAAGACUGCCUAUGGGUUGUAAACCUCUUUUUUCAGGGAGGAAAAAAAUGACGUGUACCUGAAGAAUAAGCAUCGGCUAACUCCGUGCCAGCAGCCGCGGUAAUACGGGAGUGGCAAGCGUUAUCCGGAAUUAUUGGGCGUAAAGCGUCCGCAGGCGGCCUUGAAAGUCUGUUGUUAAAGCGUGGAGCUUAACUCCAUUUCAGCAAUGGAAACUUCAAGACUAGAGUGUGGUAGGGGCAGAGGGAAUUCCCGGUGUAGCGGUGAAAUGCGUAGAUAUCGGGAAGAACACCAGUGGCGAAGGCGCUCUGCUGGGCCAUAACUGACGCUCAUGGACGAAAGCCAGGGGAGCGAAAGGGAUUAGAUACCCCUGUAGUCA
rnacentral:rRNA from 1 species